GAUGAACGCUAGCUACAGGCUUAACACAUGCAAGUCGAGGGACCGGCGCACGGGUGAGUAACACGUAUCCAACCUGCACUGUACUCGGUGAUAGCCUUUCGAAAGAACGAUUAAUACCCGAUAUAAAGGAUGGGGAUGCGUUCCAUUAGGUUGUUGGUGAGGUAACGGCUCACCAAGCCUUCGAUGGCUAGGGGUUCUGAGAGGAAGGGCCCCCACAUUGGAACCGAGACACGGUCCAAACUCCUACGGGAGGCAGCAGGGAGGAAUACUGGGCAAUGGGCGCUAGCCUGACCCAGCCAAGUAGCGUGAAGGAUGAAGGCGUAUGGGGCGUAAACUGCUUGUAUAUAAGAAUAUGUAUUAUAUGAAUAAGGAUCGGCUAACUCCGUGCCAGCAGCCGCGGUAAUUC
rnacentral:rRNA from 1 species